rnacentral:rRNA from 1 species
AUAUUGCACAAUGGGGGAAACCCUGAUGCAGCGACGCCGCGUGAGUGAAGAAGUAUUUNGGUAUGNANAGCUCCAUCAGCAGGGANAACAAUGACGGUACCUGACUAAGAAUCCCCGGCUAACUACGUGCCAGCAGACGCGGUAAUACGUAGGGGGCAAGCGUUAUCCGGAUUUACUGGGUGUAAAGGGAGCGUAGGUGGCAAAUCAAGUCAGAUGUGAAAGCCCGGGGCUCAACUCCGGGAUUGCAUUUGAAACUGGUAUGCUAGAGUGCAGGAGAGGUAAGUGGAAUUCCUAGUGUAGCGGUGAAAUGCGUAGAUAUUAGGAGGAACACCAGUGGCGAAGGCGGCUUACUGGACUGUAACUGACACUGAGGCUCGAAAGCGUGGGGAGCAAAC